rnacentral:lncRNA from 1 species
CCGUCCAUAAGUGGGGAGGAUGCAUUCCAAUACAUUCAUUAGGGUUUUAGAGCAUAGAAGAAGGCAAGAAACACAAAAAUCGGCCUCAAGAUGCGAAGAUUCAAUUCAAGAUUUAAAUUGAUGAUGUCGUUUUUUCAAUAUUUUUGUUGUUUUUCUCUUUCUAAUAUGUUAGGCUAGAUUUAUUUAUGCUAGAAGAACUAUGAACCGUG